UACGUAUGGAGCGAGCGUUGUCCGGAAUUAUUGGGCGUAAAGGGUGCGCAGGCGGCUUUACAAGUUGGAUGUGAAAUAUUGUGGCUCAACCACAAACGUGCAUCCAAAACUGCAAAGCUUGAGUUAAGGAGAGGUAAGUGGAAUUCCUGGUGUAGCGGUGGAAUGCGUAGAUAUCAGGAGGAAUACCGGUGGCGAAGGCGACUUACUGGACUUAAACUGACGCUCAGGCACGAAAGCGUGGGGAGCAAACAGGAUUAGA
rnacentral:rRNA from 1 species